CGCCUUCGUUCUUCUGCUGCAGCAUCAGCUGCCGCCUCCUCCAGAGCCUGGCAAAAAGAAAAACAGAUGGCUAUCAAAAAAAAGCCAUCUAUGUGUGAUGGGACUUUCACCUCAAUGGCAGAUUGUUGCGCAUUCAUGGGAGAGCAGCAAUGUCUCAAACAAAGACAAAGCCUUGUUCUCUGCUGCACUGUUUCUUGCACAACUACAACGUGAACUAGUCUGACUGACUGUUGCUGCAUCUACCCGUCUGUCACAACCACGCUGAUGGCUGCAACAUGUCUUGUGCUGCACUGUACGGUCAAUGUAUUAAAGGGUAAUAUCCUCUGAGAAGAUUUCUUUGAUGUUGUGAGCUAAAAGUACGCUUUUCUAGACAUGUUAGAUGUAAGUGGAGACGGAAAAUAAAUCUCUCUCUAAAUAAUCUAAAUAAUAAACAUUCCCCUCCCCCCCCCC